GUUAAAUUGAUAAUAAAAUUGAUAAUUAUUUUUAGUUAUAUAAUUUGUAUAAAAUUAAUAAAUAUAAAAAAUUUAUAGAGUUUUAUAAAUGUAAAUGUUUAUUUUUUAUUAUAUUUUAAGAUAUUUUAAUUAAUUGUACCUUUUGUAUCAUGGAUAAUUAAUUUUGUUUUAUGAAUUUUAACUUAUUCUUGAAAUUAAAUGAUCUAAUUAAUUUUUUUAUUUAUUGUUGAAAUAAUAUUAAUAAAAUUUAUUUUAGAAGUGAUAUGUUAGUCGUAUUUUUAUAUAUCUAGUUUUUUAAUAAUUAAAUUUAAUUUAGAUAAUUUUUAUUUUUAUUAAAAAUUAAUAUUUUUAAUAAAAUUAAUUAAAAUUAUUAAAAUUUUUUAGGAUAAACUAAUAAAUUAUAUCUAAAAUUUUAUAUUUAUAAAAUUAAAUAAUAUAUAGGGUUUAAAUUUUCUUUUAUUUUUAAAAAUUUUAUUAUUUAUUUUUAAUUUGUUUUUUUUAAAAAUUUAAAAAAAUUGAAAUUUAGUUUUAUUUAUUAAAAUAAUAAAUUUUAUAAAAUUUUAAAAUUUAUUUAAUAAUGAUUAUAUUAGUAUAAUUUUAUUAUUUUAUGAAGUAAAAUUUUUACUAUUUAAAUUUUUAACAAAAAAAAUUUGGCAAAUUUUAAUUUUCACCUGUUUAACAAAAACAUGGUUUUUUGUAUUUAUUUAAGAUUAAUUCUGCUCAAUGAAUUUAUUAAUUUUAAAUAGCUGCAGUAUAUUAACUGUGCAAAGGUAGCAUAAUAAAUUGCUUUUUAAAUGGGGGAUUGAAUGAAUGAAUUUAUGAAAAAUUUACUUUUUUUUAUUAAUUAUUAAAAUUUAAAUUUUAAGUAAAAAUUCUUAAAUUUUAAUAAAAGACGAAAAGACCCUAUAGAAUUUUAUAUUUUUAUAUUUUAUAUUAAUUAUAGUUUUUAAAUAAUUAAUUAAAAUGAUAAAAAUGUUUAAUUGGGAGGAUUUUUAUAGAUUUUUUUACUAUAUAAAAUAUAAAAUUUAUUAUUUAUCAUAAAUUAGUGAUUUAUUAUUUUUUAUAAAAAAAUUUAUUUUUUAAAAAUUAGUAAAAAUUACCUUAGGGAUAACAGCGUAAUAAUUUUGUAGAGUUCAUAUUAAUAAAAUUGUUUGCGACCUCGAUGUUGAAUUAAGAUUAAAAUAUAUUGAAAAUGAUAUAAUUUUAGGUCUGUUCGACCUUUAAAAUCUUACAUGAUUUGAGUUCAGAUCGGUGUGAGCCAGAUCGGUUUUUAUCUUUAUUAAUAUAAUUUAUUAUUUAGUACGAAAGGGUUAAUAAUAAUUAAUUUUUUAUUUUAAAAAAAUGUUGAAAAUUUUAAUUUUUAAAAUUUGUUUAAAUUAAAUGAAAUUUAUUUAUU
rnacentral:rRNA from 1 species